rnacentral:lncRNA from 1 species
UGCAGACUCUCUCUCCCUCUCCUAAAACCACAUCUAAUUUGUAAACCACUGUCUCCCUCAGUCUCUCACCCUCUCCUACACGCAAUCUUUAUAUUUUCCAAGCCUAGCAUGGGGAGCACCACGUCUUGCAAUGCCCCUAGCCAUGCCAUAUAAGGACAUUUGCUACAACUGAUCCAACAAUGGUUGAAGCUGUGCAAAUACCGAGGCCAUCACCGGAAGAAAGUGCAUGAGAACAAUGAGCCAUGGUGUUUUCUGUCAUGUUCACUUCUGGAUGCUCCGUUUCAAGCCAUUUGUACUAAGGUAUGGAUGUCCCUGUUAUAAGCAUUUUCUGUGGAUCAUUGAGAUAUUUCCAGAGUUGCUCAUAACAUUCAAACUAGAUAAAAAAAAAUCUUAUGUUCAACAAGUAAACGCAGCUAAGUGCAAGUCUACAACAACUAGGUUGCUUGGCAAGUAAUCAAAAGUAGAAAACAAAGAACCGACAUUUUCUGAUGAAAGGCUUUUUAUUUUUUAUUUUUUAACCCCACUAAUGUGAUAAAAAUGAAUCACCAUAAGUUUCUGGGGCAUUAACAACGACUAUUCAUCACAGAAUGAGGCCCAAACAAGAUCACAAUUGAUGUGAAUAGUUAUGGAUUAGUAUUGCCGGUUUGAGAAGCACAAAUAAGUUGAAUGGUAAAAUCAAAAUUAUUUCUUCCUUCU